CUUGCAGAAAAUACUCCUCGAACACAAAAUCUGGAUGCCCACAGUAAGAAAUUGUUUAAUUCCUCUGUGGACUUAGUCCUCUGCAUCUGUAUUGGAGCCCAUGUUGGAUUGUCCUUCUGGAUGGACACAGCCAAAUCUUCUUCUGCUAUUAACUGAGUGACAUCUGAUGGACAAUGCAUCACCAUGCUGCUGCUUGUUUCCUCUGUGGAUGCUCACUUAAUAAAGACCGAAUCACUUAACAGAGGGAGCCAUCCAAGAAGUUUGCUUUACACAAAAGAAGUGUUUGGGGAAUCUAAAUUAAGCAUUUGAACUUCAAGUAUUUAGAGGAAUCCGGAGAUGUGGGGAGGACUUGGCCUACUGUGUUGUGAAAACUGUCAAGUCUGAGGUGAUUGCAACGUGGGAUGAGUGGGCCAAGGAGCUGGA